AGGAUGAACGCUAGCGGCAGGCCUAAUACAUGCAAGUCGAACGGGGUGUAGCAGCAAUGCUGCACUUAGUGGCGCACGGGUGCGUAACGCGUAUGCAACCUGCCUUUUACCGGGGGAUAGCCUUCCGAAAGGGAGAUUAAUACCGCAUAAGACCGUUGGCUGGCAUCAGUCGGCGGUGAAAACUCCGGUGGUAAAAGAUGGGCAUGCGUCCGAUUAGCUAGUUGGCGGGGUAGUGGCCCACCAAGGCGACGAUC
rnacentral:rRNA from 1 species